UGCCAAGUGUGAGAUUUCUCUCUACACUUAUUUUGUAGUUCUCGCAUCUUAUUUCUUGUACAUGUUCAUUGCAAAUUUAUACUUUAUUUGCUUCAAUGAUUUAUUAUCAAUUAAAAAAAUGUGUAAUUUGCAUUUGUCUUCAACUCCAGAAGGAUGAGAGAUUGCAACUUGAAUAUUACUUGCUAGUGACUCUUAUGUUUGCUCAGUUGCACUGAACCAGUGGAAGUUCCCAUGCAUCCUUGAUACCAAUGUACCAAGCAACUAGGCAACGCUUGCCUGGCACAAGGAACCAUUAGCCUACCAACAUACAGGAUGUAAUUACAAGUUAACAACAAUGUUCAUAAUGUUCUACUCAAAAUGGUUGCGACAAGAUUAUUAACGAGUAGAAUCAAUCAUUAUGGUUUUCCGACCAACAAAAAUAUUCACAGUUAAAAUGACCUGCUGUACCAAGCUGAUAGUGGAUGCAAGACAUCGAGUUUAUGCUAAAUUCAACAAGAUCUAUAACUGAAUUCAUUCACUUUCAAAAAUGAUAAGCUAAUCUGGAUUCGAAUGGGAUUCUAUGAUAAACCAGGAAAAUGAGAGAAAGAAACAGCUUAAGAAGCCAGGUAUCACGACAUUGAUUCAAUGCAUAUCAGCAGAUUUUAAAACUCGUUAGAUUUCCGGGAGAUCAUAAAACUAACUUUCAAGACCCAAAGCGUUUUAUACUGGAUAAAUAAUGGGAAAAUAGAAA